rnacentral:rRNA from 1 species
GAAAGUCCAAGGGUUCCUGCGCAAGGCUAAUCCGCGCAGGGUCAGUCGGCCCCUAAGACGAGGGCGACAGCCGUAGUCGAUGGGAAUCAGGUUAAUAUUCCUGAACCUGGUGGUAGUGACGACCGUGAAGUGUUGUAUCCCCUUACUGGAUUGGGGGUGCUGCUGGAUCGGUCCAGGAAAGAGCUCCACCGUUAAGACCGUACCCCAAACCGACACAG